GCAAAGACAAAUAACAGAACCGUAAUUCGCAUCGAUCGGGCAAAUUAAGAUACACACGUGUCACCAUACUCUUAGCGGCCCGUAACCACCUCCAUCGAACGUACCACCCCGCCUCUCUGGCAUCCUUUUGUACUUUAAUUCCCCACGGCUCAAAAAGAAAAAGAAAAAGAAAAAGAAAAAGAAAAGGCAUAAAAAAUCCCUCCAAAAUCCUAGCACACUCUCCCACGCACUAGGCACCCUCUUUGUUCUCUCUAGAAUCUACCGUCAGAUCUGGAUCGGAACAAGAUGAGCUCGCCGGCGCCGGUUGCUGCGAUGGCGGAGUCGCAGCAACGGAAUUCGUCUUCUUCUUCGUCGUCUUCGAGUUCAGGCGAAAUCUCGGUAAGAAUCGAAGGGGAAAUCAGCAUUGGUGUUGGAACCAGCGGUGAUGGUGAUGAAUUGGAGAGCAGAGAGGCAGUUGAUGUUGCUUCAGUUAGCAACGGAAUCGGCGGCGGCGGGACAUCAAACACUUCAAGGGUUGAAAAGCCUGGUGUCAACAAAUCAGAAUCAAUUCCGAGUCGGCUUAAGUUAGAAAGAUCCAAAACUGAGGGGCAAAGACAUCACAAUAUACUUGCUGAAGAGGCUGCAAAAAUUUACGAUGACAAGCUUCCUGAUCAGGAGAAGCGUAUAUUGUUGAACAGAAUGGCAACUGUCAAAGAUAAUGGAACUGUAGAAGUUGUGGUUCCUGGGGAUGUCGAACCCCGAACUCUUGGGGUCGGAUCUGAUUAUGCAUGUAAUGCAGUUGCUGAUGACGAGCCUCUUGAUGCAACAGACCAGUAUAUACCGCCACUGCAAAUAGUAAUACUCAUUGUUGGCACGCGAGGAGAUGUGCAGCCAUUUAUUGCGAUAGGUAAACGUCUACAGGAUUAUGGCCAUCGUGUUAGACUGGCAACUCAUUCAAAUUUCAGAGAAUUUGUCUUGACAGCUGGGUUGGAGUUUUUUCCUUUGGGUGGAGAUCCUAAAGUUCUUGCUGGUUACAUGGUAAAAAAUAAAGGAUUCUUGCCAUCAGGGCCUUCUGAGGUAUCCAUUCAACGAAAUCAAAUAAAAGAAAUUAUAUACUCCUUACUUCCUGCCUGCAAGGAUCCUGAUAUUGAUUCCAAAAUCCCUUUUAGGGCAGAUGCUAUCAUUGCCAAUCCUCCAGCAUAUGGGCAUACUCAUGUGGCAGAGGCCCUAAAAGUACCACUUCAUAUAUUCUUCACCAUGCCAUGGACGCCAACUAGUGAAUUUCCUCAUCCCUUGUCGCGAGUCAAGCAAUCAGCUGGAUAUCGACUUUCAUAUCAAAUAGUUGAUUCGUUGAUUUGGCUUGGAAUACGGGACAUGAUAAAUGAUCUUAGGAAAAAAAAGUUGAAGCUACGACCUGUCACGUAUCUCAGUGGUUCACAGGGAUCUGACUCUGAUGUCCCACAUGGAUACUUAUGGAGUCCUCACCUUGUCCCUAAACCAAAAGAUUGGGGGCCUAAAAUUGAUGUGGUCGGCUUCUGCUUUCUUGAUCUAGCAUCAAAUUAUGAACCUCCGGAAUCACUUUUGAAAUGGCUUGAGGCUGGUCAGAAACCUAUUUAUAUUGGAUUUGGUAGUCUUCCUGUCCAAGAACCAGAAAAAAUGACCCAAACAAUUGUUGAAGCGGUGGAACAAACUGGGCAGAGGGGCAUCAUUAAUAAAGGCUGGGGUGGCCUGGGCAACUUGGCAGAACCGAAGGACUUUAUAUACCUACUGGAUAACUGCCCUCAUGAUUGGCUAUUCUUGCAAUGCAAGGCAGUGCUUGCACUUUGCUGUCAGGUUCAUCAUGGAGGUGCUGAAACACCAGCUGCUGGUCUUAAAGCUGCGUGCCCGACAACCAUUGUGCCUUUCUUUGGUGACCAACCCUUCUGGGGUGAGCGGGUGCAUGCGAGAGGAGUAGGUCCUCCACCCAUACCUGUUGAUGAGUUCUCACUUACCAAGUUGGUUGAGGCGAUACAUUUCAUGCUAGAUCCCAAGGUGAAGGAGAGCGCGGUGGAGCUUGCCAAAGACAUGGAGAAUGAGGAUGGUGUUGCAGGAGCUGUAAAAGCAUUCUUCAAGCAUCUCCCUCGAAAAAAGCCCGAGCCCGAGCCCGAGACCGAGCCCGAGCCGUCACAGGAACCAUCUAGUAUUUUCUCCUUCAGUAAAUGUUUCGGCUGUCCCUGAAUCUCAACUGGAUCCAUCUGGACUUGGUGGUGUGCUCAAUUUACCUGUAUAGCAUGAUAAGAUUCCUCGGUAGUGGUGUCUGCUGAGUACUAACCGAGAUAGAAUAUACCUGUUUCGUGAACAGCCAGAGGAAUUUUCGACCAUACUUGAUAAAUUGUAAUUAUCUCCAUUUAUUGCGGUCAGUAGGUUUCAUGGGAUGAUGGGUCAUGAUUACGGGUCUCUCUCUCGGCGUCACCUGCCCAGGUGGAUUCUGAAUUUGUGGUUUGUGUUUGUGGCGCUGUCUUCCCUCGAGAACUGAAUGUAGGCGGCGUCUUCUGCUCGACUUUUUGAUGUCGCUGCCCCGCAGAUGAAUGUCUAUUUGCAGUACUUGUCUGAUUGGAGUGGGUCCCAUGUUGCCUUAAAUCUGGCCAUCGUUCUCUUUAUAUUGUAUUGAAACCGUGUGAAUAAUCACCGCCUAAUGAAGA